GGGUAACCUGCCCAAGAGAUCGGGAUAACACCUGGAAACAGAUGCUAAUACCGGAUAACAACAGAUGAUGCCUAUCAACUGUUUAAAAGAUGGUUCUGCUAUCACUCUUGGAUGGACCUGCGGUGCAUUAGCUAGUUGGUAGGGUAACGGCCUACCAAGGCGAUGAUGCAUAGCCGAGUUGAGAGACUGAUAGGCCACAUUGGGACUGAGACACGGCCCAAACUCCUACGGGAGGCAGCAGCC
rnacentral:rRNA from 1 species